AGCMUGCAAGUCGUGCGUCCCGAGCUGGCGGGACGCGGCAUACGGCUCAGUAGCACGUGGUCAACCUACCCUGCGGACGGCUAUAACCCCGGGAAACUGGGGCUAAUAGCCGAUAGGAGAUGGGUGCUGGAAGGCCCUUUCUCCGAAAGGCCUAAUCAUCCAUGCUGUGAUUAGGUGCCGCAGGAUGGGACUGCGCCCUAUCAGGUAGACGGUGGGGUAAUGGCCCACCGUGCCUAUAACGGGUGCGGGCCCUGGGAGGGGGAGCCCGGAGAUGGGCACUGAGACAAGGGCCCAGGCCCUACGGGGCGCAGCAGGCGCGAAAACUCCGCUAUGCGCGAAAGCGCGACGGGGUCACUCCGAGUGCCGCCCGCUGAGGG
rnacentral:rRNA from 1 species